rnacentral:lncRNA from 1 species
CUGCACCACUGCAGGCCUGGGUAGUAGCAAACACACCGAUCUGCGCCCUGUCACUGGUUUAGGAAGCUGAGCCCCAGCCGCUGAGCCGUUUUCUACCGGCUGAAGCACGCAUGCUUCCUUUGCUUCCUUUGCUUCUGCAAGGGAACAAUGAGCAAGUGCAUGUGUGGGAACCCUCCUGCCUGCUGGGCGCUCAGCUAGGAGUCCCAGAAUACCAGACACCAUUAUAUUCAAAUAUCCCUGCUCUCAGACCCCUGUAGACCUACUGGUUCUGGAAAAAAGCUUUCUUCUUCGGUCCCCUGAGUAGGCUAGUGACAACUGAAAACAUGCAGACCACAAAAGAUGUGAGAAUUCAAACUGAGCCAUAGCUCCAUCUCCUGGAAGUGUAUAUCAGCAGCAACAAGAGUAAAGACCCAGAGGCAUGAGAAACACUUCCUCACUGAAGCACUCACGUUCCGACUGUGUGCAAAAGACCUUUUGUGUCUCACUCACUGAGGGAGAUUGUUCUUCACUCAAUCAAUGAGAAGAACAGACGUCUUAGAAAACCUUCAGUACCUGGGGGAAAUGAAUGAGCUCAAACACAAGGGAAAGUCAGCCCGUGUUCAAGAUAAGCCCAUCUCAGGAAGGCAGGCACCAUGCUCCUGAGACUACUUUACCCCCAGAUAAGAAAGCCCUUAUUGAUAAGCCAAAAUCACAGAUUAUUUUAUUAAGCUCAUAUUUUAAAAGAAUGCAAAGCUUCCUUUAAUGUUACUUUCCAUUAUAAAUGUAAAAUUACAGUUUGCACAUAAUAUCUGGAUUCUGGUUAACUAUUUUCCAUACUGUAUUUUGCAAUUGCAUAUCUGCAUUUCUAUUUUUAUAUUAAAAAAUAAAUAGGGUUAUGCAAAUAAUAUUUCUAAUUGUGCAUAUUUAUGUAUUUAUAUUAAGUUUUAGUAUGUCUGCUUGCUCACAUAAUUUAUCUUCUCUUUAUGUAUAAUUUCAUUUACUUACAAUAACUAAUUAUUAGGGAAACAAAUAAAAUCUUUGAGAAAUUACCAGAGGUUAAUUCAUAAGUGCUUUAUCUUGCUUCACAGAUAAUCAUAUACUUUAUUUCUAAACUUUGAAAUGUUAUUGUCCAUAUUGUUUCUUCGUACUUACAAAAGUAAGAAAUUGGAUUGUAAUGUU